GCCGAAGUAGCUCAGCUGGCAGAGCACUCGACUUGUAAUCGAGCGGUCACCGGUUCGACCCCGGUCUUCGGCUCCA
rnacentral:tRNA from 1 species